UACGUAGGGUGCAAGCGUUAAUCGGAAUGACUGGGCGUAAAGGGUGUGUAGGCGGUCUGCAAAGUCUGAUGUGAAAUCCCCGGGCUCAACCUGGGAACUGCGUUGGAUACUGGUAGACUAGAGUACGUAAGAGGGGGGUGGAAUUCCACGUGUAGCAGUGAAAUGCGUAGAGAUGCGGAGGAACACCGAUGGCGAAGGCAGCCCCCUGGGCUAACACUGACGCUCAGGCACGAAAGCGUGGGGAGCAAACAGG
rnacentral:rRNA from 1 species